GAACCCGGGGAAACCCGGGCUAAUACCGCAUACGUCCUACGGGAGAAAGAGGGCCUCUGCUUGCACGCUCUCACUCCAGGAUGAGCCCACGUCCGAUUAGCUAGUUGGUAGGGUAAAGGCCUACCAAGGCGACGAUCGGUAGCUGGUCUGAGAGGAUGAUCAGCCACACUGGGACUGAGACACGGCCCAGACUCCUACGGGAGGCAGCAGUGGGGAAUAUUGGACAAUGGGCGCAAGCCUGAUCCAGCAAUGCCGCGUGUGUGAAGAAGGCCUUCGGGUUGUAAAGCACUUUAAGCGAGGAGGAAGGUCUUUGAAUUAAUACUUCAAAGAAUUGACGUUACUCGCAGAAUAAGCACCGGCUAACUCUGUG
rnacentral:rRNA from 1 species